AUGUUGUAUGAAAGGAGAGAAGGUUAGCACUCCCCUUAAGAAGGAUGGAACAGGCCCUUGGGCCUAAAAACACACAUACAGUUAAAAAGCUUAAAACCUUCUGUGUAU
rnacentral:ncRNA from 1 species